rnacentral:lncRNA from 1 species
CACGGCGGGGGUAGGGCAGCCCGCCGGCUGCCGGCCCUCCCCAGAGCCUCCGAGGUUGACGUUUAACCGGAAAAGAGAGAAAGGGGACAGAAAACAGAGAGGAGAGGAAAAAGUAAAAGAAAAAAAAAAGGGGAAGAAAAGAAAAGAAAAGGCCGAGUCUGGAAAUCAGCUAGGGGCAGCGAAGCAGCGAGUUCCCGCUUCGCCUGCAGAAGAAUUUCUUGGCCGGUCGUGUGGGUGACUGUUAUUCGGCUCGUUGCGGAGGAUUUGGACGUCGAGUCAGCCCCAGCGCUAACGAGAUGUUUUUCAGGAGGAAGAGGAUGGAUAUGCUGCCAAGGGUGUGCGCUGGGCUGCUUCUCCUGUCCCUGCUCUACACCACAGGCCUCUGCCAAAGGAACAAAAGUGAGUGCGGUCCUCUUAUGUCAAUCCGUGAUCUCUGCUCGCUCCCUCUAGGGCAGUAUAAACUCCUCCUUGGCUCCAGAAGAUAAAGGUCUUCGUAGGGAUAAGAUAUUAGAUCUGCUGUGUGCCUUCUCUCUUGUCUGUUAGCUCCCCAGCAGCUGGGACGCCUCUCUCAUGUACCCAGCAGCUGUUUUGUAGCCUUCUGCCACUGAACACCCAUGCAAAGUUCCCACCAACUUCCACAGGAACAGGAUCUGCCCUUCUUGUGCCCUUCCGCAUCCUACCCAAUUCCCAUGUUCCUCAUGCUUCCACAUUCCCCCUAGAUAACCGCUGCGUGUUGUCCCAAGCGAAGAGCUGCACUGAGUGUGUCCGCGUGGACAAGGACUGCUCCUUCUGCACAGAUGAGAGUUUCAAAGAGCCUCGCUGCGACUUGCGGGAGAAUUUGCUGCGAUACGGCUGCGAGGAGGCCAGUAUUGUGUACAUGAGAGGCGAGAUGAGGGCUCUGCAGGUAGGUGCUAGGUAGAGAUUUGUUGUUCCACUUCUUCUGAAGGGUCCUACUUUUUCCAA